GUCUCUGUGUGUGUGUGUGUGUUUAGCAGUGUUUUUGUUUUAUCUUUCAGCCCAAGAACUUGCCAGUCAAGAUGAAAAACUUCUUCUAAUGGAAUCCAGCUUGAAAACUGCUCAAAGCGGCUGAGCGAACAGCAACAUUUCACCAAGACCAGAACAGUAGAAAACCCCAGGCCGAGCUGAAGACAGUGAGAGAGGGAUUAUGGCUUCUGAAGAAGAAUCAAAUGACUGCAAGAUGAUGCUGUUCACAAUAUUGUAACUAAGAAUUUUGUAAUCAUAAGAAUUUAAAAGUUCACUGCCUGCUUGAGAAGGCUGUAGAAUCUUUGGAGGUGCAGCUUACUGGAGGAAGUAAGUCAUUUGAGACAGGAAUGAGAAUUGAAAGCCUUGCUCAACAUUUGGUUUGCUGCCUCUCUGAAUUGUGUUUGUGUGAGAUUGCAGAUGGGACUUUUGGCUCCAUUCUCCUGCUGUCCUGCCUGCUGUUUAUUGCCAUGCUCGCCCACUGCCAUGAACUAAUUUUUCUCAGUGUAGUAACCCAAAAUAAACUCUUUCUGCCAUGAGUCACUUUUGGUCAUGGUGUUAUAUUAAUGAAAAGCAAAGAAUGCAGUAGACUCUUGUCAGUGAAUAUAGAAAAUAGCAUUUCAGAAGGACUAUUUGGUUGUUUAAUGAGCAUUUAAUGUUGGCAUGUCAUCUUCAGUAUUCACUUUAUGUCAAUACACUAAAUACCACUGAUACAAUUUAUUAUUUUACUUUAUUUUUGAGUAUACAAUAUAGUUUUAUUAGAUAUGCAAUUAAUGCAGUAAAAUAAAUAUUACAACUAAUUCUAAUUUUACAUUUUCUUGUGUGCUGUGAAUGUGUAUGUGAAUAUAUGCUAUUUAUGAGUGAAUAUGUUUGCAUGUUCAUAUCAGAGAUGCACUUGGAGUAUUUUCUCCUUCACUCUCAGUCUCCCACUUGAACCCAGGCAUAAUCAUUUUUGGCUAGUCUAGUUCACAGCCCUGCUCUGUGAUCACCUAUCUCUACUUUUAUCUACUUAUAUAUUGUCAUAUUUCUAUAAAAAUGUUAAAUCCUGUAGAGAAAAUAACUUCUGGUAUUCAAUACCAACUCUUAAUUUUAAUUAAUUUGUAAACCUGAAUGUGAAAUUUAGGGUCUAGUGAAUGCUAGACAGACACUCUACCAAUGAGCUCACUUUUUACCAAUCACCUCCUAUAUAUUUGGCAUUGAAACAUAUAUUUGUUCAAAAAAAAUGGACAAUAUCAAUUUAAAGCUGCAAAUCAACAAUAAAAACAAAAUCUAGUUAUUGACAAGAGGAUGCAGAAUGUUUUAUAAAUAGUAGAUUAGUGUCAGACAUUAGUCCAAGUGCUGUGCAUUUUACCAAUAAACAGAUUGUCUUUGUUCAUAAAAGCACUGUAACAGAAACUUUAACCACACUGAGAAAUUCUAGCAGGUUUAUAUUAAAGGGCAUUGCAGCAAAAACUGUUUACAUCAGACCAACCACUUCUAGUGAAAAAGUCAGAAUGUGACACAAAUGAAGAGAUUUUGAGCCAUAAACACAGGAGAAUCUUCUUUGCUUUUGAUACUGCCAAAACUUAUUAGACAAACACAUAGACACUGCAGACAACCACAGUUUUAUUGAGGGAACUUAUAAAACUGUAAAAUCUGUAAGUCUUUAGAAAUGAGUUGACAGGUGCUUUCUGAUCUGCGCAGAAUGAACCCACUAUGAUGCUUUUGACAAAGAUCUGAACAUUUGCACUAACAAAUUUUCUCUGGUUUUGUUCAUAUUUAUGUUUAGAUUUCAUAGUUUAGGUUCUAUUUGAAUGAUAUAGCAUAACUAUAUCAUUUUUGCCCUUCCACUUCCUUCUUCUGAAUAUCGUAAUUCUUGCCAGUCUGUGUAAUCUUAUUUGUGUGCAGAUCUUCAGAGCUGAUCCUUUGGUACUCAAUUGGGAUGUUCUUCCCUGAAGAAGUCUUCACCCCCUCCCCCCCCUCGCUCUUAGCAUUCUGUAGCUGCCACUGGUUCAUUGCUUAUAGCUGAGGGUUUCCUCAGUCCACUUUGGUAUGCCUGUUGUAGAUGAGAAGUGAAUUGAUAAUUAUGUAUUGGCUCUUAAAAUAUGAAACAGGUAUUAAUACAUGUUUUCUCAAUAAAUUCACAAAUGAAAAUAAUAGGAACUCAAAACUAUUUUCCAAAAAAAUUAAAUGAUAAGAAGAAAUUGGUAUUAAGUGAUGUGUAAAAGGGCCAUCAUUACAGUUAUGAGGGGACACAGGAACCACUGUGUGAGUACCUGGUCCUAGCAACCUGACAGACAGACUAAAACAAAGCAGAUUGGGAGAUGGGUAGCAUGCUUGUCUUUCACUUCUGACAAUGAUUCCAAGGAGAACCUGGAGCACUGAGGAUGGAGGUCUUUCGAUAAAGAAGUGAAUUGACCAAUCACAAAAUAACACACAUGAUAUGCACUGAUAAGUGGAUAUUAGCCCAAAAGCUCAGAAUA